GUUUCAUUUCCAUCCACCAACAAAAAUACACUCUAAUCCAAUUCAGCCAAAUUGUAAACAUUAGCUUUAACAAGUUGAAAGGAAAAAUAAAAUUCUAUGUAAUAGAACAAAAUUUCCUGAAGGAAUACUACAAUCUGAUGGCACAAAUACGCCGAUAAGCAAUAUGAUCAUCUCCUUCCAGCAAUCUUGAGCAGAGGAGUAACAAUGCCCUGUAUCUGUAGCAAUGUCUGUUGUAAUCGUAUUUCCUCCUCCACAUCUCGUUUAAGAUUUCUAAUGUCACCACGCAGUUCAUCCGAUGAUUUGAUAUCUUCAGCUCGCAUCUCAACUACUUUCUUUGUCAAGCCCAUCAAAAACCUUGAAAAUCUAGGCAUGGUUGAAUAUCUCUGCAGAAACUUCAAAAGCAAACCAAGUUCUUCCGUUUCCAAGUUUGACACGCAUCUCAUUAACUUCUUCCGAGCAACCAAUUCCUCCAUAACAGCUACCACAUUUUCCGGGUUCUUCCCAUUCAAAGCAGCUAACAAAGCUUCCUUGUGCAUAAAUUUCUUCAACAACUUAUCAUGCUCCGUCACCUUUAUCUUCUUCGGCUUCUUAAUCAAGUAAUCCCAUUCAGAGGGCUUCUCAUUUUGCCCCCGCUGAAAAUAUCUGUAGUAAGAUGGCCUCAACACCCGCCUCCGAGGCACUUCUACCGGACCAAAGCCACCAACAUCCCCAAGUUCCAUGCUUUCACUUUCCUUCACCUUUCUUCUGCCUAUAUACAAUGUCCCAUUCGAUGCCCCAAUCACCCUUGUUGAACAAUCAGGCGAGAACCCAACAGACAUUAGAGGAUUCGGAAACCUCAUCGAAUGAGUAAUUUUGAACUUAGCAUAGUCAAACACCUUCAUAUAUCCAUCCAAAGCAACACUCAAAAUCCGAUAUUGCUGCGCCUCCUCACCACUCUCCUUUCCAAUUUUACCAACACAAAUCGAAGUCACAGUCUUGUUAUGACUCUCCAUUGUACAUAGCAAUUUCCCACCUCCAAGUAUAUCCCAAAUCUUCACAGAAUUACCACCAGCAGUAGCAACUAACCCACCAGAUGGCAAGUAAAUCACAUCCUCAACAGGCUUUCCAUGGUCGAACUCCAUCACCGCACCCGAGUUCAUCACCCUAACAUCCCAAACUUUCACCGUAUGAUCAUAAGACCCAGAAACAAACAUAUCAUCACUUACAGGAGAAGCAUCCCCACACCUCACAUAAUCCUUAUGCCCCAAAAGAUCGUAAAUUUUAGACUCGGUAGUAAUAUCCCAAUACUUAACAAUAGCAUCAUCCCCACCGGAGAAAAGGUGAAGCUUAUCAACCCGCGGAUAACGUACAACACGAACAGGUCGGGUAUGGCCACGAAGCCGACGAAGUGGGACACGGGACUUGGGGUCGAGAACUUGAACGGCACCGGAAAGGUCACCAGCAGCGAUAAGACGACCAUCGGAUCGGAAUGAAGCUGAAGUUACAGUAUCACGGAAAGCAGAGGAGAUGGUAGUUUUGGGUUCAAGAGUUUUACCGGAGAAAAUGGAAACAGUGGCGGAAUGGGCGGCGGCAAAAUCGUGAGGAGAUGUUGGAGAGAAGACAAUGGAGUUGAUUGAAGAAACAAGUGUUUGUGGGGUUUGAAUUUCUUUAGGGGUUUUGAAGGAUUUCCAGUACUUUGAUUCAAGGGUUGGUGUAGAUGAAUUUGCUGAAGUGGGUUUCAAUUUUGGCUUCACUGGGAAAGUUCUUGCUAUUGAUUGAGUUUCAGCCAUUGUUGAAGCUCUGAAGAAAACUUCGGC
rnacentral:misc_RNA from 1 species